GACGAACGCUGGCGGCGUGCUUAACACAUGCAAGUCGAACGGAAAGGCGCUGCUCUUGUGGCUUGCUCGAUUGGCGAACGGGUGAGUAACACGUGAGUAACCUGCCCUUGACUUUGGGAUAACUUCAGGAAACUGGGGCGAAUAUCGGAUAGGAUCUCCUGCUGCAUGUUGGUGGUUGGAAAGUGUCGGCUGUGGGGGAUGGACUCGCGGCUUAUGAGCUGGUUGGGGGGGUAGUGGCUUACCAAGGCUUUGACGGGUAGCCGGCCUGAGAGGGUUACCGGCCACAUUGGGACUGAGAUACGGCCCAGAAUGCUACGGGAGGCAGCAGUGGGGAAUAUUGCAGAAUGGGCGGAAGCCUGAUGCAGAGACGCCGCGUGCGGGAUGCCGGCCUUCGAGUUGUAAACCGAUUUCGCAUGUGACGAGGCGUGAGUGACGGUAAUGGGUCAAGAAGCACCGGCUAACUACGUG
rnacentral:rRNA from 1 species